rnacentral:lncRNA from 1 species
UUUCAAAACCGACAGUGGAAAAUGCCUAACCCGUUUCUCCGCCUAAGAUCAUUCUUGAAGUUUUGGAUCCCCUGCAGAGCACAGCAAGGCUCCGGACUUUGUCCAGCGAGGAGUGACAGGUCUCGGGCCUCUUCCGUCCGCGGGAGGAAGCGGGGCUCCAGGCGGUGCGAGGACUGCGUGUGCCUUCCCCACACCCGCCCUCUGGGGACCUUGCCCCACAGCUUGGCUUUCCAGAGCUUUCUAGCCUACGGGGUCCCAGGGUCGGGACUGCAGGAGAGCCAGCUGGGACCUGACUGCAUCUGAAUCCCGCUGGGACCUGUUGGACCGCGCUUGUGUCGACGCAGUUCCACUCCCUUCACGCCAGGGGCGGCCUACGCGUCCCGAUGUAGAUCACUGCGUGCGUGCACGGAGGUGAAAUGUUUGAAAAAGCAGUUUCAGACUCUUCUUUGAAGAAGGAAGCAAAUGCCUAUGGUGACGAUGUUGAAGGGAGAAUGUUUCAUCCCGGGAUGUCCUACGCCUACUUACCGAUGGCUGUCUGAUCUCGGUUGACUGCAGGUCAUUAAAGCCCUGGAAAUGAAAGCAUCGACACAGGGGACAACUGCUCUUCCACUGCCACCAACCUGGUCCAAAUGAAGUCACCACCCCAGAGAACUGCCCUGACAGUCUCCCAGCUGGUCUUGCUUCUUCCUGCUGGCCCUUCCCAGUCUCCUCUCAGGAGAGCAGCUCCUGCGGUC